rnacentral:rRNA from 1 species
UACGAAGGCCACAAGCGUUAUCCGGAUUUAUUGGGCGUAAAGAGCGCGUAGGGGGCUGUAUCAGUCUCCGGUCAAAUGUCGGGGCUUAACUCCGAACUCGCCGGGGAAACAGUACGGCUCGAGGGCGUUAGAGGCAGAUGGAACGCACGGUGUAGGGGUGAAAUCCGUUGAUAUCGUGCGGAACACCAAAGGCGAAGGCAUUCUGCUGGGACGUUCCUGACCCUGAGGCGCGAAAGCGUGGGGAG